ACUCAAAGGAAUAGACGGGGGCCCGCACAAGCGGCGGAGCAUGCGGAUUAAUUCGAUGCAACGCGAAGAACCUUACCUGGGUUUGACAUAUGCCGGAAGGCUGCAGAGAUGUGGUUGCCGUAAGGUCGGUUUACAGGUGGUGCAUGGCUGUCGUCAGCUCGUGUCGUGAGAUGUUGGGUUAAGUCCCGCAACGAGCGCAACCCUCGUCCUAUGUUGCCAGCGGGUUAUGCCGGGGACUCAUAGGAGACUGCCGGGGUCAACUCGGAGGAAGGUGGGGAUGACGUCAAGUCAUCAUGCCCCUUAUGUCCAGGGCUUCACGCAUGCUACAAUGGCUGGUACAAAGGGCUGCGAGAUCGUGAGGUUGAGCGAAUCCCAAAAAGCCAGUCUCAGUUCGGAUUGGGGUCUGCAACUCGACCCCAUGAAGUCGGAGUCGCUAGUAAUCGCAGAUCAGCAACGCUGCGGUGAAUACGUUCCCGGGCCUUGUACACACCGCCCGU
rnacentral:rRNA from 1 species